UACGUAGGGUGCGAGUGUUGUCCGGAAUUACUGGGCGUAAAGAGCUCGUAGGUGGUUUGUCACGUCGUCUGUGAAAUUCCGGGGCUUAACCUCGGGCGUGCAGGCGAUACGGGCAAUACUUGAGUGCUGUAGGGGAGACUGGAAUUCCUGGUGUAGCGGUGAAAUGCGCAGAUAUCAGGAGGAACACCAAUGGCGAAGGCAGGUCUCUGGGCAGUUACUGACGCUGAGGAGCGAAAGCAUGGGUAGCGAACAGGAUUAGAUACCCGGGUA
rnacentral:rRNA from 1 species